AGCUAUCGGGGCUACCCCUAACAUCUUUUAAAAAUAAAUAAAAGGUACAAAAUACAGCUUUCCUAGUGCUAAAACACUAGGAGCCCUUGUGCAAGAGCUACUACGAGUGUCCACAUAUUUCAGCAACAGGCCCCAGUGAGGAAGAAAGCAAAGCGAGGGCAGGGCAAUCUCUAGACACUUGGGUAGCCAAGAAGCUUGGGGGAGUGGAAAGGAUUGUCAUCUCUGAGGUGGGGUGGGGAAGGAAGCACUCAAGUCCAUCUAAACCCAAAGGGCUCAGGAGAACAGCUCAGGUGGGAAACAAAACCGGAGCAGAGACCUGCCAGUGGGAUGGAGCCACACUCUGCUGCCCAGGUCAGCCUCACCCACACGUGACUGUGCCUUUCCUACCCACCUACCUUUCCACUCCUCAGUCCCCAAGGCUCAGGGGCUGAGUUACUUUUCUAUAUUUUUGAAUGCCUCACCUCAUGCUCCAGCCUCAACUCAGAGGUUGCAAAGUCUGGUGACAAAUGCCUCCAGAGCCACGAAGCCAAAUCCAAACCUUGAGUGGGACUUGAUUUCUAGGUUGUUGCACUGCCACCUUCAGACCACCAAGGGCAGGACGCCUGGUAUCCCAGUAACUGUGUCUCGCUAGCAAGAAAACCACAUUUCUCUUUCAAGGUCUUCCUCUACACUUCUGCUUUUAAAAGACAGAACAGGAAAAGGACUUGACUUCUCCAGGAAGAAAACUUCAGCUGUCAUGAGACACUUCCCAGCUCCUUGCUGUACCUGGGAUCUGGGACAGUGCCCGGCUCCUUCUGGUAAACCAGAUCUGGGCUUGUCAGAGCACCACCCAGCCACCCGUGUGCACGUGCUCCUGGGCUGGUAGGACUCUGGACAAGGCCAGCCAAGUCUCCAGCCAGCCCCAGGAAGGCCAACAGUGAUGUGGGACAGCCUUGUCUGUGGAUGAACACCAGCAACUCCACUGCUAAGUCCCCUGUAGAAAGUGGUUUGAACUCUGAAAUUUCAAAGAAAAAAAUGACCACAAUUUAUGCUUUAAA